GUUCUGUCGAAUCGAAACAUUCGUAGAACUUUUCGGUGAGCUGGUGAUUUUAAGAAUUCCUUUCAUGCAUCCGGAAAAAAAAGAGAACGACAUGUAGGAAAUGCGUAAGGGACAUUUCCUUAUCGAAAAAUUCGACUGCUACCACUCAUCGUCAAACAGUGGACGUGAUAACAACGUUUUUUUUUAUUGUGGCAACCGGCCAAACAGCAGUCAGGAAAUCAAAGCUUUUGAAUUUUCGAUUGGCUGAUGUUUUUAUGUAUGCGUAUAACAACCAUUUCUGGAAUUGUGUAUUCAAAUCGAUUUAUUAUCAUACGUCAAUGUUUCAGCCCUAAAGUUCAAGUGGUAUUACGUCAAAUUGUUGCCAAAAAAAGUGACUUGAUAACAAAUCAAAUUUUCCUGGUGGGCGGAGUCUGCAACUGACAACCAAAAAAUGCGAUGAAAGCGCUGACCGGAUGGAAUUCUACAUCAACCACCUGACGAUGGAAGGCUGCGAUGCCAACAACAUAGCCUCCGCUUUGAUGGCCGAGUCUGAAUGCACCGCUGUCGAGGAAUCGUCUGCCAAUGUCGUCUACCGGCCGCCAUUUCCGCUGCUGGAUACAAUCACCGAGGAAACGGUGGAAGAAUUGUUGCUGGAAUUGUCGGAUUCGUCAUCGCUAUCAGCAUCCGCCAAUGAUGAAAGCUCGGAGAGUCCCAGUUCCAAUUCGGGACGUUGGGGCUGGGGUUGGGGCUGGCUCAAUACCAGCGACGAUGAUUCAUCCAGCGUAAUUCACAUGCCAGUUGGAGGAGGGCCGUCAGCAAUCACAUCUGGAUCCCUUGUACGACAUUCCGAGAUGACUGAUGUCAAUUCAGGAAUUUAUCGUACAGACGGACUUGACGUUGAUUUCGAUUUGGGUAAUGACGACGACGAUUUCGAUGAUAACGACGACGGUGAAUGGAGCGAGCGUGAUCAGGAGGUGCCCAAAAAGAAGCGCCGCAUCGGCUCCUCUAUAGAUGAAGAAGACAAAGAAUCGGCGUCGUCACGCAGCCCUUCCGUAACCGACAGUCUGAUUCAAUUCGAAGCGCUGGAGAAGGAGCUGGUGGACACGGAGUCUGAGCCCUUCGCUGCCGAGGAGGAGGAGGAAUCGGCGUCGGCUGUCGUCUUCCGCACCAGCGCCACUACUUUACCCUUUGAAGACGCCGAUGACAGAGUCCUGUCUCCCGAAACAGACCCGGAAGUAUUCCUGGAUUGCCACGAACAUUUAGAAGCGGGAGGUCUGGUUGAUGAGGAGGCUCGACUGCUGCAGACAUCUAGCGUUAAUUUUUUCAACUUCUUGGAUAGUUUCCAAGAAACUUCUCAAACUUCGAGCCAAGAAUUUUACACCACGUGCGGCAGCGACUGGUUCUCUCCGCCGUCGCGUUCAUGGUCUUCGAUGCCGUCGUUGGAUUGGAAUGUGGGAGAUGAAAGUAUUACAGAGAUGAGGAGUUGCAGAAGUGCGUGCGACGUUAGCGGCGAUUGCGGCGUUAUGGGAAUGGGCGCUUCCGGCGCACAGCUACAGCAGACCUAUCAAGGGCAGAGCGCGGCUUUAAGACCUUCACAGCCGUGGGUAAUCACCUUUGAUCCGCCGCAAGAGAUGGAAGAAGAAGAAGAAGAAGAGGAGGAAGAUGAUGAUCAGGUUAAUGAUGAUGAUCAUUGGGAGCCGGACGGGUUCCUCAAUUCCGACAUUGAAGAAUACGACACGGGAAGUAAUUCAGACGACGACGAUUACAGCACCGAAAGAGGAGAUCGUUUCGAUGAAUUCGGUCUCGGAUUCAUUUCGGGCAGAUCUCAGCGCAUGAGAUCGUUCCGCAGUUAUGGCGACAGUCUCAAUAUGCUGGACACGACAGACGACCCCAUACUACACUCAAACAGCAGUAGCAGUUCCAGUUGCAGUCCGGAUCGAUCCAGCCCGGAAGAAGAUCAUCGUCAUCCGGCGUCUUCACGGUCGAGGCAUUCGGUGGAAGCGUUGAGCGAAGACAGCGGUUACGGCGACGCGUCCGGAUCUCAUCCGCUGAUGAUGCAGCAGCAGCAGCAGCAACGAACUAGCCCUGACAAUAGUAACAACAAACGUGCUGGAACAUCGAGCAUGGAGGAAGCACGGAUGGUCGACCCGUCAACACCCCCCGCCAAGUGCCACCACACGCUCGAAUUACCCAACAGUCUUGGCCUAGCCAUCUGCCUUCCAGAUGGAUCACCCCCCAGUUGCAGCCCGGGCGAUUGUCAAUGGUCUCCGGAAGUUGAAAGAGCAACAAGGGACGAAUACCAGGACGAAGACGACGACGACGACGUUUGGGAAGAAGAAGCAGAAGAAGAAGAAGAAGAAGAAGAGAAAGAGAAAGCGGAUGAAUUGCGUGAAGAAGACAAGAAUGAGGUGAAGGAUGAAGAAAUGACGGGCCAAUCUGCGUUGCUGAUGCGCCGCCAGCCGCGCAGUCGACCUACUCCGCUCAGUUUGAAAGAAGCGGAAGAGUUUCUCAUCCUGCAAGAUCACGCAGCGGAAGUCGUAAAUGAUGGCCAAUCCAGGUGUGGCGUGCCAGAGAUUUGCAUAGACCUUGAAUCGAAGAUGAGCCACACCUUGGACGGCAACGCCGCCACCAAUGACGACAUCCUGCCUGAUCACCCUGGAACCGAUUUAGAAGCGUCUAAAUUUAACCCCCAAAUUGGAAGCAGCGGAUGGGAGGAGGUUCCAGACGGAAUGGGGGAGGCAGUUACUGCAGGAGCAGAUCACACAAAACAAGCGGAGGGAAAAGGAGAGGAGGAGAAGGAACAGCAACACAGCCUCCUCCACUCGACUGACGGCGGCUCGGGUUUCAUUCGGCCGCCAGACGCCUCUAAACACAACUCGGCCAGCCACGGCCACAAUGUGACGUACUCUGACUCGAUCGCCAUGGAUUCGGCAUUUUAUCCAGCGCCAGUCGUUCUCAAACGCUACGGACCGCGUCAAGAAGUUGAAGUGUACAUUAGUCAUCAACAGUUGCCCGUCGGAUCGGAAGAUCUCGAUCCCCCCGUGCCCACAUCGACGACCGUCGUCCCGUCCGGAUCCUCGAUUCGCGGAGUGCAUUUCUCGCCCGUCGUCUCCGCCGUCAACUGGAGAGAAAGUUAUUUGAACCAAAGUGAAGAUGAUAGUGACGAUCAUUCGACUUCAAACGGGUCGGCCGCUGAAACGAAUCCGGAGACGAAGAAUUGCUCCGCUCCGCCGGAAUCGGCCACAAAAGUACGAGUGGCGGAAGUAUCGCCCUCUGUGGCUCAACGAGUGAAACUUAUGCCCGAUUCACCGCCAGAUGUCGUCAAUGUCAUCGAGGCCGAUCGCGGAACACCGAAUUCCGGCCGGAACGAAAGCAAUAGCAACAGUUGCACGACGACUAGCAAUAGUGCCACUACUACUGCUACUCCUACAACAACAACAACACCACCACCUUCGAGUACUACAACAACUGGAAAUAAUAGUAAGAAACCUCCCCUUUUCCAGCGUUUCUCCUUGUCGCGGUUGAGUGCCCGUAUGUCGGCCACAUUCAGCCGUUCGGAUUCGAAACGGGAAUCGGGUAAGAAAGUAGUCGGCUCGGAUGGUCCAAUUCCCACCGAUGCGAAGGAUGUCCCAACAACAGCGACCGAAACGACAACAACAUCGCCGCCCGUCGCCAAGGGCAAUAGCAAGAAGAGCAGCAAGAACAAACAACAACCGGACGCCUGUCCAGAAGUCAAGCCAACUUCCAAGAAAAUUGAUGACUUUAAAGUUGUCAAAGAGCCAAAAAAGAGAUUUUUCAGUCGAACGUUCCAGCGCUCGUCGUCCACUCCACCUAUGAGCUCAUCCGUCACCGCCCAACCGGAAGCAACCAUUCAAACACGCGCCACUUUGACGGCCGUAAGCCCAACGGCGGCGACAGCGGCGGCGGCGGGGGCCUCUGGCAAUGACAACAACGGUGCCACUUCAUCAUCGAACGUUUCGUGUCGUCCGAUUGAAUCGGUUGCCAGGCAACCGGCCACAACAUCCUCAAAUGACGAGAAAAAUACUCCCCCAACGUCACCUGCCGCCAUUGGGGACAGCAGUCGUCCUCCAGUCGUCAAUUCGACAAGUCCAACAACCAGCCAGCCAUCAGUCGAGCCUGAAAGUGGGUCAUGUCCGCCGAUUCCAUCGCCACGUAGCAAAGUUCAAGCCAGUCACGCCAAACCGCCUUUGCCGCCUCAGACGAAGCCUCGAACGAUUCACGCCCGUAAGAAUUACUUGGUGCAGCCGGCCGAGCCUCCACCACCCGUGCCAAUGGUGUCGUCUGCUGGCCUGCAGCAUGCGCUGCAACACUUUAAAGAAACGGCCCGAAUGGAUCGUGAGCGACUGGCCAAUUCGGUGCCGGAUCUGGUCGCCACCGCGCCGUCGACGCCGACGCCGAGACCCACAUCCGAUUGUAUUGAUCCAAGGGAGACUAACGAGGUGACGACGGCGCCGGCGCAGCAGCCGCCGCCAGCCUGCCGUCCGGUGACACUUUUCCCUGCCAGUCGUGAGCGAGCCCGUCAGGCCGCCUUGAGUCGUGCGUCGUCCGUCGAGUCGGCUUGGAAUGCCACGGCAUCGCGGGCCGCUUUGAAUCUCUCACGCCGAAAUAUUGCCUCGAGCGGCAGCAGUCAAGACGUUGCUGGCAUCACUGGUGGUACUCAAGGUCAUGGUCGGACCAAAUCCCGUCCAGUCGUGCCCGGACUCUUGGAGACUAACCUGGACUCUGUGCCAUCGUCCUACAGCAGCAGCAACAACAACUACAACAAUCCGGAUGAGACUAAUCUGGACGAAUUGAUUCAGAACUUGCAACUCUUUUGCAACAACAACAAACGUGCAGUUGAAUAUUCACCGCAGCCGCUGUCUGUCGACUCCGCCAGCGCCACCACCACCAACUCUGAUAAGAGAUUUAAGAGUAUGCUGAAUUUGGGUUCGUCCAGUGCACCAGUCAGUGUCCAGCCGGAUAUCGACAUGAUGAUGACCGAUCCAACAUCGUCCUCCUCCGUCAGAGUGCCGGAUGCUAACCGGGCCAAAUCGAUGGAAUUCUUACUCGACGAAGACAACAAAUCCACGGUUCAAGUUCCUGAGAAUCAGCUGAAAAAGUGCGGAGAAAGGAAAAUGUCGGAGCACGAACUGCGCAUCCAGCGCUCUUUGCAAAAACUCAACGUGCCGGAAUGGUAUAAAAAUAACGCCCGCUCCGGAAUCGGUGGGAGCACGACGUCUGGCUCCGCUGGAGGAAGUAAUGGCUCUGCUACUACGGCUACUAAUGGAUCCAGCAACGUGAACGCCAACAACACGGGCGUCCUUCGUCGUCGGGACUAUCACGGCGGCAGUAUCAGCUUGAGGAACGGCGGAUGGAGCGGAUUGAGCAGUGCCAAUCGAGAUGCUGGAACAGCCUCAUCCAUGACCAGCUUAGGUUCAGCUUUGAGCCGGUCAGGAACGCCCACACGUGUGGUUAUACCCACGCGAGUGCGAGCGGAUUGGCGAAAUAUCAAAUCAUCGCGUGAAUCGCUUUCCAGUCCGGCGGAGACGUGCAAUUCGCCCAGCUGGAACGGGGGCCCGACCUCGUUGAGUUCGACCCAGCAAUCAUUCUCCAGAUGGGGAAGUGGGCGAUCCAGUUACAGUACCUGCCCAUCUCCAGCUCCGAGCACGUCCUCUUCCGCUUCCGCUUACCGGACAUCGUUGUUGAAUCAGCACGGUCGAGCACCCUACUUGGGCUGGCGAUCGCAGGAGAAGUUGAACUCCAAUCCAGCACCGCUGUCGAUCUAUCAGUCACCGGCCGAACGACUUGCCUCCACUUUAUUGACGAAGACGGGCGAUGUCGGUCGCAGCGAAAGCCGAGCGGAAGCCGAACCCACUCCGCCGCAGCUGCUGCCCCAGCGGCAACAACAAGACGAACAACAGGAAACGGACGAAGUGGUUCGAUCCAGCAUCCGCCAAGUCACUUCAGCCAUCGUCCAUUACGUCAGCGAGAGCAGUGAUGGAGACCAGCCACCUUCUCCGGCUAGCCGGAACGGUCUCUCACGUAGCCCUGAACGACAUCCGCUGGAGGCUCUCUCCAGAUCACCUUCACCUCGUCGACAACGUUGCGUUUGGCUGGAGAGUUCCUUCGUCGGAGGAGGAACCAGCCCGACAAGUCAUCACGCUAACGCCACAUCACCGUCUGGUUCGUCACCCGGCCGGCCGGAAUCACCUCCAUCUACUGGAUCGAGUCACCAUUUACACCACCAUCGAUCAACGACCAGUACGGCCACCAAUGGAAGGCCAGCAGGGCUAAGCGAUAAAACUGGGCCGCUGUCGGUUGUGGACAGAGAUGAUGCGACUUCGCCACAGCCUCCGCCUCCGUUGCUGGUAGCCAAACGAAUCUCACCACCGCCCGUCUCUGCCACGCUGGACGACGUCCUCAAUUCAUUGCUGGGCCUGGCUCCUCCCUCGCCAAUGCACGGGCUCCUCAGACGGCCCGUCUCCCAGCCGACCAUUCACAACAAACAAGCUCAUCAUCAACAACAACAAGACGGGCAGCAGACGACGACGAGCCAGUCCCAGCAGCCGUAUCAACAUCAACAUCAGCAGAUGCGUGGCAACAACAACAACAACCAUGAAGGAGGAGCAUCGAGGAGCUUCAACGACCUUCGAUCCUCCUCCCAUCACCUCCAAUAAAUCAACGAUCUUUUUUUUAUUUUUUGUUUCGUUUUUUCUAAGUGAAACACGAUGAAAAAACCAAUGUAGUGUGUAGAAAGAAACAUUAUUUAUAGUGCUCUGUCCAUCUCACCCACUCCACCGUAGCCUAAUUAACCGCGAUUACGGAUUAUUUCCGCUCCCACGCGCCCGCGCGCUCAAAGUCGUGGGAAGUUUCAGACGCGGGACUGGAAAAAGUUUAGGCACUCGCGUUCCCCCCCCCAUAGAGUUAAUAUAUUGCCGUAAUAAUAACGGUGAAUGUAUUAUACUACACAGCAGAGCAAUAGGAAAGCGGAAAUAUUUUGUAUCUGCUGUAUAAAAACAUGGACCUUAAUCGGGUUUGACGUCGUAUAAAAUACUGGAACUUCAGGGAAGCGCCAAACUAGAUUUUUUGAAGCGUGAUUUGGAGAGAUUAAAUACCUGCCGGCGCAGAGAAUGACAAUGCCGAAUACAUAAUUAAGGGCGUGCAGAGGUGAGUGAGGUGAGAGAUGAUGAGUUUGCGCAUUGAUCAUGGAGAUCCGGUUUCACUUGUUAUCGCUGUUCACGUUGUUGUUGUUCUAUUUCUUUACAAUGAAUUCUAUCCACGUAUUUUGUCUUUUCUUUUUCUAAAUUUUAAUUCAGUCCUUAACCUCUUUUUACAUCGGUUAAGUUUAUUCGAAACAAAAGUUUUAACUGUACAUUUUCAUACUGUUUGUUAUUAAUCCAUUGUCGCUGUGUUAUUUUUCUCCCAAGAAAUUCAUUCUUUUUUUUGUCGAUUUCAAAAUGAAUCCAUAUGUCUGGACUAAAGAUGGUCUGUGCUUUCAUUAUAUACUAACGAAAUAUCAUACCUACUCGAGCACGUCUGUUUUUCCUUUUCUAGUUGGAUUUAGAUUAUUUCAAGGUAAAAGACUUUGAAGAUGGUUUACAACAUUUUUAGAAAUUUCUAGCAGAGCUUAACUUUUACGCGCAAAAGUAUCUCCGGAAUCAAGUUUCAUCCAUUUUUCCUUCUAAUCCAAUUUUCGUUUCUAGGCGUCCUUCAUUUGUUUUCCCAUUUGUAAGUCGUUACUCUCGCAGAGCCACCUACCGACAUCUCAGCUAACACAGCUUCAAUGUAAACAAAUGAUGGCGGUUUUCAAAACUGAAUCGAAGUGAAUGGUGAAACACGUAGAAUGGAAACAGUUUGUAUCUAGUCUUGGUGAUUAAACUAAACUCCAGAACUGUUUCCCUCUUCAAACAUGAUUGGAAAGUGAUGUUCGUGAAUGGCGUGUUCCGAUCUGCCGUUGUCAAGUGCCAUUGAAAGACCCACAGCUUAGCCCAAUAUUCCACUUGAGAAGCUGCUGCUGUUGUACUCGAAAGAAAACUGACUAUCAUAUUAUAUCUGGAUGAAUGACGUAAAACUAGCAUCGUGGCUGCAGGGUUUGGCAGGUUUCACCACUUUCUGCUCUCUAAGGUAAGUCCAAGACACAUGGUCAAUUUGUAUGGUUUUAUUCUUGACAUUGUUAGCUCUGUAGGUUAGGUGACACCUGACAAGGUUUCCUUUAUUAUUUAAACUCAUUCAGAUUGUGGUACGCAUAAGAUUUUUUUAGAGAAUUUGUAACAAAGUCGAUUCAACUGUGUUGGAUUGAAAACCGUUUCCCAUCAGUUGUGAAAUCAUCACAAAAUCAUGACCCAUUCUUGUUCUUUUGAUACGACCUUCACGAUUUGAAUAGACUUUAUUGUUUGGUUCGUUGACAAUCAAUAUGUCAAUUGACAAUGGAAGCAAUUAAUAUGGAAAGCAAGACGGAUUGUGCUCUCAAUCUGCUGGCGGCAGGCAGCAAGAGUUGAGAUGAGAAUCCAUUCGUUUUCAUUCAAAGAGAUGGGGGGCUCUUUACGUCCUUCGACCUCUGGGUCUGAUCGAUCCAUCCUGCAAUGAGGCCAUGGAUAUCUUUUGAGUUUUGACGCAUAGUCAAUGUGCGUCACUGUCUAACGUCAAUGGAUUCAAUCUAAACUCCAGUAUAGGACUUUUAUGCAUAUUUGGUUGAAACCGAAUCUUGAUUGAGUGAUUGUCUUUCAAGUGCAGUAGCAAAAUAAGGAUGAAUGACGAAAUAAUUGGAAAAUACCAUUAUUUUCUUGCACAUUCUUUGAUGCAACCCAAAAAAUUUUCAAGGCCCUUUCUGUCAGACUCUCUGGCCUGAUUGAAAUCUUUUUCUUCUUUGCUUUAUCCGUUGCUCAUCGGUGCAUUAACAAACAACAUACUGCACUUGUUCCAUUUCUGUUCCACCACUCUGCAUAAUGAAAACAGCGUGCACUAUAUUGAGCUUCGUGUGGUUUUCUUUUUUUGUUGGCCGGACAGUCAGCUCAGCACAGUAUAAACUUUUGCGCCAUAGCAUUAUAUGAGCAACCCCGUGGAUUAGGCAGGACGUUAUUAAAACUGACUUGCUGGUGCGGUGCUGUAGAGUGUGUGCGUAUAUUUUUCCGUCACGAAAUCAGAUAUCCCCUUCACCUCAUGUUUCUCCUAUCCAACUUUCUUGAGGAAGAAAUCCCCUUUUUUGUUACUUAUUUAUAUAAUACCAUUAUAUGACUUCCCAAGGCUGUGAUGCUUGUCACGAAAGCAAUACGCUGUUCAUUUUUCCAAGCGCGCAAUAGCUCAUGGACACGAGCCUUUUUUUUUGUGUUACUACACGGUGUGUUUCAGUACCACAAUAUAUUCAUUUUGUCUUGCGUCAGCCACUCCCUCGUUUUAUCUUCAAUUUCCUAAUUUUGUGGACAUUGAAUACGCUAUCCCCCCUCGGACAUGUUUAACGUGAAUUUCUCCUUCUCCACUGGUUUUACUGAUAAUAGCCCAUGUCCUAUUGUCCUUGUGGUUUGUGUCACAUUUCGCCGUAUCGGGGAUGGUGCGGCAUACGAUAUCUAUUGUCGGAAAUGUUAUUGGGAACUUUUGUCCGGAGACUCAGGCGGACGUGGAUUGCUUCUUUUACGUAAUUCAUUUUCAGAAUCCCUUGAGAAAAAUAGGGUCGUACUAUCUUCCCCGUCUUAUUUACAGUUUGCAACACUUAAAUCUUGAUCUUCCUCAUUUCCACGGAAUUCGUCUGGCAAUCAGUAAAUUAUUCUUGGAAGUAAAUUGAUGAAAUCGUUCCGCAAAUGUUUUUAUUGUUUUUUUUUAAUGAAUUUGAAUUAGUAAGAAGGGAUUGGCCAGCAUGCCAUCUUGUGAGUGCGUCUGCCAUUGGACACCACUAGCGCCAAAGUUGUUAACAAAAACAAAGGCCCGUAAAAUCAUUCAAGGCACUGGGCUGUCACUGUCUCUUGAGAAAUAACAAUUGAAUAUUUCUUCAUUAAUGAUUGAAACCGCGAAAAUAAAUGCCCCCGGCUGUAAGUCGAUCAAGGAAUUUUAAUGAGUAGGCCAGCACAAAGAACAGUUAGUAGUGCGUAAAGAAGCAUUGCAUUUCCAGAUUCAAGUAUCAAGACCCUUCCAUUCAUCGUCCACAUUUAAAUCAAGUUAAAUUUGACUCAUGGCUGAAAAUACGAAUUCCAGACGCAAGCCUCCUUUUCCUAAUUCAAGGCUAUCACUUUCUCAAAAUAGGAAAACGAAAACUGACUCUGUUGUACCUUCCAAGGGAAAGAAAAAAUCUAAUGAACCUUUGUGCAAUCAUAGCUCUCGUCAAGUGUCCAAGAAACAGAAUACUGAAACUACAACUACUGUUGCCCAAAACACAAGACAAAAAGAUUCGUGCACUAAGAUUGUUCCAAAAUUCAAAUGUGAAAGUGAAUUAGAAAGAACUAUAAGGUUAAGAAUGGAAAAAUUAAAAGAAUCCCAGAAAAAACUUACAAAGUCAAAAAACACAUUACCUGAAUCUUCUCUAAGACAAAAAUCUACUAGCCAGCAAACUUUAAAAGCAACCAGCAAUACUAGCUCCUCACAAACAAAGUUAAAAGUUAAAAUUCCUUUUCCUGAGAAGAAAAUUAAGGUGAAUAGUCCUCAUGUCAACAGUUCAAUGCCACAGAAACAAAAAACUCUUAUGAUUUGGAAAUUUAAAGAUGGGACCACUGUGAAAAAAUUUUGUUAGUUCUUCCUUUCAUUAUUUAUUGAAUGGUGAUGGUGGACAAACAGCAGCAUGUCUUGUUAUUUUUUUUUCAGCACUCUUCUCUCGCAAGUAUAAUUUUUUUUUUGUAUUUUGAUACCUGCCACUGAUGUUUCUGUUUGUAAUGCCAUUUUUCUGGCUUUUAAAAGCAUAGAAAUCAUUUCUAUGAAUUAUGUCUGCUCUGCUUAUGCAUUUGCAAUUUAAUGCAUGUGCCCAUCAAACCAAUCAAUAAUAAGUCAGUUAUUUGGUAUCAAAUACAGCAUUUUGAUUUAAA
rnacentral:misc_RNA from 1 species